AGUGAACGCUGGCGGCAGGCCUAAUACAUGCAAGUCGAACGGCAGCACAGUGGAGCUUGCUCCAUGGGUGGCGAGUGGCGGACGGGUGAGGAAUACAUGGGAAUCUGCCCAGUCGUGGGGGAUAACGUAUGGAAACGUACGCUAAUACCGCAUGCGCCCUUCGGGGGAAAGUCGGGGACCGCAAGGCCUGACGCGAUUGGAUGAGCCCAUGUUCGAUUAGCUAGUUGGCGGGGUAACGGCCCACCAAGGCGACGAUCGAUAGCUGGUCUGAGAGGAUGAUCAGCCACACUGGAACUGAGACACGGUCCAGACUCCUACGGGAGGCAGCAGUGGGGAAUUUUGGACAAUGGGCGCAAGCCUGAUCCAGCCAUGCCGCGUGAGUGAAGAAGGCCUUCGGGUUGUAAAGCUCUUUCGGCCGGGAAGAAAUCGCAUGGGUCAAUACCCUGUGUGGAUGACGGUACCGGAAUAAGAAGCACCGGCUAACUACGUG
rnacentral:rRNA from 1 species